AACAAGGAUUCCCCUAGUAACUGCGAGUGAAGCGGGAAAAGCUCAAAUUUAAAAUCUGGCGGUCUCUGGCCGUCCGAGUUGUAAUCUAGAGAAGUAAUGCCCGUGCUGGACCGUGUAUAAGUCUCCUGGGAUGGGGCGUCAUAGAGGGUGAGAAUCCCGUCUUUGACACGGACUACCAGUGCAUUGUGGUAUGCUCUCAAAGAGUCGAGUUGUUUGGGAAUGCAGCUCAAAAUGGGUGGUAAAUUCCAUCUAAAGCUAAAUAUUGGCGAGAGACCGAUAGCGAACAAGUACCGUGAGGGAAAGAUGAAAAGAACUUUGGAAAGAGAGUUAAACAGUACGUGAAAUUGCUGAAAGGGAAACGCUUGAAGUCAGUCGCGUUGGCCGGGGAUCAGCCUUGCUUUUGCAUGGUGUACUUUCUGGUUGACGGGUCAGCAUCAAUUUUGACCGCUGGAAAAAGACCUGGGGAAUGUGGCAGCUUCGGCUGUGUUAUAGCCCCUAGUCGCAUACAGUGGUUGGGAUUGAGGAACUCAGCAC
rnacentral:rRNA from 1 species